AGGGAAGCUGUUAAUUUUUAUCACUAUUUGUUUUUUUCUCUCUUGCUGCUUUUACUGUUGCAGGACUUCUAUUAACCAUCAGCUAGAACCUUUUUUAAGAUACCAGAUGAGAAGAUGAGGAUUAUCUAUCGUAAUUAAACAGGAUUUGUUGAUAAACUAUUUAACUAUGAUUUUAUUUUUAUUAUGAUUCGUCAAGGUUAAUCUAAGGGCAUAUUCUUUAUGUGUUUUUAAGUCCUUACUACCAGCCCUGUCUUAUACAUAUUUUUCAUCGUGUUUAUACGUUUUAAUUUUUUAAUUUCCUUUAAUUGUUUGUACAUAAUGUAAUUUUGUUUAAUAUUGUACAGUUUCAUUGUUGACACCGUUCAUCUUUGCUUCUAAGCAAUUUGAUCUCAUUCGGUUUCACAGCAACUUUUUUUCUAUGUAUAAUGUUCUAUUUUGUUGAACCAUCUUAAGGAUUUUUACUUGAGAUUUGGAUUAUAUCAUAUUUACUCAAACCAGUUGAAUUUGGUGACUAGAGCUUUUACACGGUUGCCUAACUUACCAGAAAUUUUAACAUUUUACUGGUUUUAAAAGUCUCAGCGCCAACCCUAAAGAUUUUAGAUGUACCUCAUGAAUUUUUUUGCGGACCAUUUUUUCAACUAUUUUUUUUACUUCGUUUUCCAAAUUUUGAUUAAUUUUUCAGAUUAUUUUAUUUUCCUGAGAAUGGGAGUUGGACAACAUCUGACUGCCUCAGGAGAUUUUUAUGUUAUACUUCAGUAAUUAGAGAGAGAGAAUGCCCACAUUGAGAUCACAAUACCAACAUGUCAGACAAGAUCUUCAGGCAGAGUUAGAACUAACAAACCUCACAGCAAACCCAGCUAUUAAUCCAAAUCAGCAGACUAUGAGCUGUGAUUAUGCAAGUCCCUGUAGCCCAAGUAAGAGUUUGACCGGCCCUAGUAUCACCAUGGUAUGUUCUGUAGAACGGGUUAAAUCUGUCCCUAUCAGUCCCUCCCAGAACAUUAUCAACGUGAGUGCGAGCAGCUCUGAUGAUGAUCGUAGCUUGACCUCAAACAACAGUGUUUCCAAACAAGAGAUAGUACGAGGGAAUGGCAGGAAGAACCCUUCUAGCAACAGAAAGAAUAGUAAGAACAGCAAUGGUUACAGGAAAAGUAGGAGGAGCAGUGGAAGCAUUGGUGAAGAUCUUCUGAACACUGCAACAGUUCAUGCUCCUUUACCAGCUCAGCAGAACAUUCCUGUAUACUCUAAUCCUUCUCAUCCCACUCAUCUAACCACAUCUGGUAGUAUGCACUUAAGCUCUUUCCAAGCGUACAAACUUACUGCUGAGCAAGCUAUUAUGCAGUCGUUGCAUGUUCCCCGGAUACCAGGCUUGGAUGGAUUGUCUGGAUUUCCUAAUAUGGGAAAUUUACCUUAUAUGGAACAGUUUUCAAUGAUGAUGGAUGGACGAGGUGGAGAGGGAAGAUCAGAUCUACCAAUAAGGAAUGAAAAUUAUGGAUUGGACUACCAGGCUUACAUUGGAGAACAGCCAUCAGUGGAGAUCGAGUUCCCUAAUACAGAUGCUGGGCUGAGAAGUGUUUUGGAACAACAUGGAUGCUUUGAAACCCCGGAAGGUUUAACAGCAAGGGAGGAGAUUGUCAAGAGCUUAGAUCUUUUGGUUAAACAAUGGGUUAGAAGUUGUGGUCUUGAAAAGGGGUUGGAUUACAUGGUGGUUGAAAAGAACCAGGGGAUGGUGUUAAUAUAUGGCUCCUGUAAACUUGGAGCUGCUGAUAGAGAUGCUGACAUGGAUCUCAUUUGUGUGGCGCCAUCGUAUGUGAGCAGGGAGCAGUUUUUCACCACUAUGUAUCAAAAGCUUCUAAAGCAUAAAGAUGUCCAUGAGCUUCGUCGACUUCCUGACGUAUUUGUUCCAGUCAUGAAAUUUCAGUUUAACCAGACAGAGAUUGACUUUACAUUUGCUAGUCUGACGGAACCUGUUCCAGAGAAGGAAUCUGCUCUUUUGAAUGAAGUCUUCACUGAGAACCUUGAUGAUCGUUGUUUACGAAGCCUGAAUGGAUAUAGAGCAACUUGUGAACUCCUAACUCUAGUUCCUGAUGUCAGAGUUUUCCAGCUGUCCUUGAGAGCAAUCAAGCUUUGGGGGAAGAUGAACGGUAUAUACGGGAACAUCUUGGGAUAUCUCGGCGGGGCAUCAUGGGCCAUUUUAGUAGCACGGACAUGCCAGGAGCAAGCUAAAAGGCAAAAUGCAGAGCAUUGCCCUAAAGAGGUUGUGUUCACAUUCUUUCAAAUGUUUUCCCAGUGGAAGUGGCCGGCCCCUGUCUAUAUUAGACAAGUUAUGGACCAACCUAGUUCUGCCUGGAAUCCAUCAGUAAAUGCAGGAGAUAGAGAUCAUGUCAUGCCCAUCAUCACAUCCAGUGUUCCCCAGAUGAACUCUGCUGUGAACAUCAACAAGUCAAUUCAGAAGUAUAUUCAGGAGAAGAUGAGUGAAGCACAUCAGAUUUGUCAUCAAAUUCAGGCUGGAUUAGUAGGUUGGGAUUCACUUUUCAAGCCAUUUCCUUUCUAUCAGGAAUAUGAUGAAUUUUUAAAUAUUACUGGUGAGUGUGAAACGGAUUCCUUAUUUUGGCAUGGAUGCAUUGAAUCCAAGCUAAGAUAUCUGAAGGAAAAGAUUGAAUCAUCACAAAGAGUGUUCUCAGUUAGAAUUUGGCCAAAAGGGUUCUCAAAGAAGGAGGGGCGUGUUUUUGUACAAAAUUGGUUUAUUGGUGUUGCUAAAUCUGGAAAUAAUUUGGAGAAACUUGUGGCUGAAGACUGUAGAGUAUUUGUUGAAAGAUGCUUUGGUGAUCUGAGGAAAACAUUUGGUAAUAGUCCAAUGGUUAAGCAAGCUUUCUCUGUCAGAUAUUCUGUUGUUAGCAGAAGCAAGAUCUUCAGUCUUCUUCCUCUCAAGGAUUUGCACAUGAAUACAAAUGAAAAGCCACCAGCUACUUAUGCUUCAAUUGCCCAGGGAAAUAUGUCCAGGGUUCCGACUCCUCCAGUUCAAGUUUUAAGUACCAGCAACCAUCAGUCAAUCAUCCACCCCAGCUACAUACCUCAACCUGCGAGCUCUCAGGCCUUUUCAAGCAACUUUGCUUACCAUACACAGACUAGUAGCACAUAUACUACUGCAACUGCUUCAAUGGGAACCAACCUUAACAACGCCUACCCUAACCAGCCUAUCAUCUUUCCAAUGUACAUGGGGGCUCUGUUUGGCCAUCAUCAUGACAGGAUGUCUCCACCAGCAAUACUUAUUCCUAAUCCUAGAUCUAUGUCUCCUAGAUCUACUUUAUCUCCGCGAGGAUAUUCCAGUAGAAACAAUUCUCCUAACUACCAACGGACACAGACCAACUCACCUAGCCAGUUUAUUUACAAUGAAGGUCUUGUGCCAGGCAUAUCUGUGUCUGGGCCUGGAAUCCCCCAAACUAGAGGAAUUAGUGUCCCAACCGCAUAUCUUGGGUCUCCUGGAGCUUUCCCAUCCUACUCACCUAGGCAAUAUCACCUUAGUCAUCUUGGUCCCUUCAAUUUCCCACCACCCCCUGCUGGUCAGGCAGCAGGGAUUACACCCACUCCUCUUAAUGUACCCAGGAAUUCACCAAAUCAGUCUGCUCGUCCUAGUCCCAGACCUUUGGAACCUCAGAGAUCUGGCGUGGUUGCUGUGGUUAACGGCGUGCGAAGCAUUAACAACAACGUCAAAAUGCCAUACUCGUGUGUUUCUUUACCUGAGCUUGAGCAGGCAGAGAGGAAAAAAAUAACACGAGCUCAGAAGGAUUCCAGUGAAGAGGAUCGGCUUAGAUCUGUCUCCAACUCUAGUGAUACAGUUGCGCCAAACUUCCUUUACCGUUCCCGGAUCAACCAUCAGGAUGCUCCACCCCCCUCACCCUUCCAAACUUUAUACAACUCCCAACCACAACCAUUCUUCAACCUUCAUCACUCACCCAGUACGCAGUCUUUGCCGGGCAUGAUUCCUUUAAGUCAGGCUGAUGUAACGAUUCCUCCACCCCAACCCCACAGUGCUCCCGAUUCUCCAGUUAAUCAGGACAACCAGCAGUUCACAUUCUCAAGGGGAGUUAAGCCACUAUUAGCCAGACCUCACCGUUCACCUAGACGAUCUGUCAGUGAAGUGAACGAUUUGACUUCUCCAAUGCCUGUAAACUAUAUUCAAAGGAUGAAAAAUGACAUCAAGGUCAACAUUUGCAACAAUGAUGAUGUGUUUGGGAAGUAGAAACUCUCCUGCCUGAAGUUCUGCCAAUUUUUUACUCGUGCUAUUCGUAGAUUGUAGUCUGUUUGUAAGUCAAUGUUGGUAUAAUCAGGAAAUUUAUUUCCUGGGUUACUAGAAAGGUUACCCGUGUAAUUUAUAUAUAUUUCAUUUAUAUGAUAUUUUACAUUUUUAAAUUAUGAUAACAGAUAAUCUGUGAACCUAUAUUUAGCCAAUCUUAAAUAGUCUUCAUAUAUUCAUCAUAAUAGAAGUAUGAAAAAUAUAAACCUUAAACCUGAACUGGAAAAAUGCUUCCAAGUUCAGAGAAUGGUUAACUUUAACCAGUAUAGGAGACAAUUAAUAUUCGUAGUUUUAUUGACUUCUUAAAUUUGAAAAAAAGACAAAAAAUAAUAAAAUUUUACAAAAAAUAAACCAAAAAAAGUAUAAAAUGAAAAAUCACAAAAAAAAUAUUGUACCAAGGAGAUAAUCUUCUGGCCUUUAUAUAUUCCCUUAAUGAUUUGUAAAUAGAUUUCUUAAUCAAAAAAUUGAAAUGCCUUUUUGGCACCAAAAAAAAUGUAUUUUUAUUGUUAUCCCAAUUAUAGCAUGUGAUUGUUAUCUAGCCAUGUAAUUUGUAAGUUAUCCCUAAGUGGCGCCAAAUACCAUCUACAGUCCCUUUUCUAAAUUCGUUCGGUUUGGUGUCACUAAUCUUAACACUUUAUUUUAAAUGUGUUCUUCACGAACGAAUUGUAUUUGAUUUAACAUCUAAUAAACUCCCUCCCGAACACCGGAGGGUUUCGAAAUA